rnacentral:rRNA from 1 species
AUUGAACGCUGGCGGCAGGCUUAACACAUGCAAGUCGAGCGGAGAUGAGGUGCUUGCACCUUAUCUUAGCGGCGGACGGGUGAGUAAUGCUUAGGAAUCUGCCUAUUAGUGGGGGACAACAUUCCGAAAGGAAUGCUAAUACCGCAUACGCCCUACGGGGGAAAGCAGGGGAUCUUCGGACCUUGCGCUAAUAGAUGAGCCUAAGUCGGAUUAGCUAGUUGGUGGGGUAAAGGCCUACCAAGGCGACGAUCUGUAGCGGGUCUGAGAGGAUGAUCCGCCACACUGGGACUGAGACACGGCCCAGACUCCGACGGGAGGCAGCAGUGGGGAAUAUUGGACAAUGGGCGGAAGCCUGAUCCAGCCAUGCCGCGUGUGUGAAGAAGGCCUUUGGUUGUAAAGCACUUUAAGCGAGGAGGAGGCUACCUGGAUUAAUACUCUUGGAUAGUGGACGUUACUCGCAGAAUAAGCACCGGCUAACUCUGUGCCAGCCGCCGCAGUAACAC